AAUCUUCCGCAAUGGACGCAAGUCUGACGGAGCAACGCCGCGUGAGUGAAGAAGGUUUUCGGAUCGUAAAACUCUGUUGCUAGAGAAGAACAAGUGCUAGAGUAACUGUUAGCGCCUUGACGGUAUCUAACCAGAAAGCCACGGCUAACUACGUGCCAGCAGCCGCGGUAAUACGUAGGUGGCAAGCGUUGUCCGGAUUUAUUGGGCGUAAAGCGAGCGCAGGCGGUUCCUUAAGUCUGAUGUGAAAGCCCCCGGCUCAACCGGGGAGGGUCAUUGGAAACUGGGGAACUUGAGUGCAGAAGAGGAGAGUGGAAUUCCAUGUGUAGCGGUGAAAUGCGUAGAUAUAUGGAGGAACACCAGUGGCGAAGGCGACUCUCUGGUCUGUAACUGACGCUGAGGCUCGAAAGCGUGGGUAGCAA
rnacentral:rRNA from 1 species